GUUUCAGAUUUUUAAUCUUCUGCUGAUGAUGGUGUAUUUUGAGUUAGGAGUUUACAUCCUGGGCUUGUGGCAGAGGAUAGGCUUAUGAUCUGUCAAGUUUAACUAGUUAGGAGAGCUGUUACGAUAUAAGCUGAAAAAGGGGUAAAGAACUUGGUGCCAUGGAGCUCAUGGAGGAGUUCAUCACUUCAUCGACCACAGGGAUGGGGAAGGGGAACUUGUCUUUGGAUGUCUUCUCAUUUAGAGCGCGGUAGUCAAUGCAGAACCUCGAGGAACCCUCCACCUUCUUGACUAGCAGCACCAGUGCCGAGAACGGAGAAGUGCUUGGCCAAAUGAUGUUCUGCUCUAGCAUGGCGGUGCAUUGUCGCUUGAGCCCGUCCUACGACUGCAGGUAGCGGUAAGGGCAGACGGACACCAGCGCGGUACCCUGCAGCAGGUGGAUCCGAUGAUCGUAGGGCUGCACAUGUGGCAGCUCGCGGGGUGUGACGACUUCGAAGGUCUGAGUAGCUUUGUUGGAUGAUUAACUACUUUUAGGCCAUAUGGUGGGCCAUAGUCAUUAGCUGUCAUUAGCUGUCAUAGUGGCUUAUAAGCCGUGUCUGUAACAGAAUCAGGGGACUAGAGAAAUAACAGAAGGAAAAACAGAAUCACACCUUGCGUCAGUUUCUA